rnacentral:rRNA from 1 species
UACGUAGGGAGCAAGCGUUGUCCGGAAUCAUUGGGCGUAAAGCGCGCGUAGGUGGCCCCGUAAGUCCGCUGUGAAAGUCAAAGGCUCAACCUUUGAAAGCCGGUGGAUACUGUGGGGCUAGAGUACGGAAGAGGCGGGUGGAAUUCCUGGUGUAGCGGUGGAAUGCGCAGAUAUCAGGAGGAACACCAAUAGCGAAGGCAGCUCGCUGGGACGUUACUGACACUGAGGCGCGAAAGCGUGGGGAGCGAACAGG